rnacentral:siRNA from 1 species
UGGAGGAAGCUUAUGUGCUGGAGG